CUACGGGAGGCAGCAGCUAAGAAUCUUCCGCAAUGGACGCAAGUCUGACGGAGCGACGCCGCGUGUGCGAAGAAUGUCGAGAGAUUGUAAAGCACUUUUAUACGUGAGGAAUAAGCGGAGUAGGAAAUGACUUUGUGAUGACGUUAGCGUAUGAAUAAGCUCCGGCCAAUUACGUGCCAGCAGCCGCGGUAACACGUAAGGAGCGAGCGUUGUUCGGAAUUAUUGGGCGUAAAGGGCAUGUCGGCGGUUAAUUAAGUCUGAUGUGAAAGCACACAGCUCAACUGUGAUGUUGCGUUGGAAACUGAUUGACUUGAAUCCGAGAGGGGUGUGUGGAAUUCCUUGUGUAGGGGUGAAAUCUGUUGAUAUAAGGAAGAACACCAGAGGCGAAGGCGACACACUGGCUCUGGAUUGACGCUGAGGUGCGAAAGCGUAGGUAGCGAACAGGAUUAGAUACCCCGGUAGUC
rnacentral:rRNA from 1 species